CCUACGGGCGGCAGCAGUAGGGAAUCUUCCACAAUGGGCGAAAGCCUGAUGGAGCAACGCCGCGUGGGUGAAGAAGGUCUUCGGAUCGUAAAACCCUGUUGUUAGAGAAGAAAGUGCGUGAGAGUAACUGUUCACGUUUCGACGGUAUCUAACCAGAAAGCCACGGCUAACUACGUGCCAGCAGCCGCGGUAAUACGUAGGUGGCAAGCGUUAUCCGGAUUUAUUGGGCGUAAAGGUAACGCAGGCGGUCUUUUAAGUCUGAUGUGAAAGCUUUCGGCUUAACCGGAGUAGUGCAUUGGAAACUGGGAGACUUGAGUGCAGAAGAGGAGAGUGGAACUCCAGGUGUAGCGGUGAAAUGCGUAGAUAUAUGGAAGAACACCAGUGGCGAAAGCGGCUCUCUGGUCUGUAACUGACGCUGAGGUUCGAAAGCGUGGGUAGCAAACAGGAUUAGAUACCCUUGUAGUC
rnacentral:rRNA from 1 species